rnacentral:rRNA from 1 species
GAUGAACGCUGGCGGCGUGCCUAAUACAUGCAAGUCGAGCGAACAGACGAGGAGCUUGCUCCUCUGACGUUAGCGGCGGACGGGUGAGUAACACGUGGAUAACCUACCUAUAAGACUGGGAUAACUUCGGGAAACCGGAGCUAAUACCGGAUAAUAUAUUGAACCGCAUGGUUCAAUAGUGAAAGACGGUUUUGCUGUCACUUAUAGAUGGAUCCGCGCCGCAUUAGCUAGUUGGUAAGGUAACGGCUUACCAAGGCGACGAUGCGUAGCCGACCUGAGAGGGUGAUCGGCCAAACUGGAACUGCGACACGGUCCAGACUCCUACGGGAGGCAGCAGUAGGGAAUCUUCCGCAAUGGGCGAAAGCCUGACGGAGCAACGCCGCGUGAGUGAUGAAGGUCUUCGGAUCGUAAAACUCUGUUAUUAGGGAAGAACAAAUGUGUAAGUAACUAUGCACGUCUUGACGGUACCUAAUCAGAAAGCCACGGCUAACUACGUG